rnacentral:tRNA from 1 species
CAAGACGUAGCUAUAAAUGUAAAGCAUUCAGCUUACACCUGAAAGAUAUCUCCCACGAGAUCGCCUUGA